CCUACGGGUGGCAGCAGUGGGGGAUAUUGCACAAUGGGGGGAACCCUGAUGCAGCGACGCCGCGUUGUUGAAGAAGCGCCUCGGCGCGUAAAGCCCUGUCAGCAGGGAAGAAAAUGACGUUACCUGAAGAAGAAGCCCCGGCUCACUACGUGCCAGCAGCCGCGGUAAUACGUUGGGGGCAAGCGUUAUCCGGAUUUACUGGGUGUAACGGGGGCGCAGACGGCGAUGCAAGCCAGGAGUGAACGCCCGGGGCCCAACCCCGGGACUGCGCGUGGAACUGCGUGGCUGGAGUGAAGGAGGGGCAGGCGGAAUGCCUGGUGUAGCGGUGAAAUGCGUAGAUAUCAGGAGGAACACCGGUGGCGAAGGCGGCCUGCUGGACUGCAACUGACGUUGAGGUCCGAAAGCGUGGGGAGCAAACAGGAUUAGAUACCCGGGUAGUC
rnacentral:rRNA from 1 species